AUGGAGGAGUAUCUAGCUGCUUACACGGCGAAAGAAGAUCCCGCAACUCCGGCGCAGCCGGCUGUUCAGACGGCCAGUGCGCUGCCGGCGCGGGCAGCAGGUGGCCACGCGCAGCAGGUGCCAGCAGCCGCUGCUGCUCCUCCGACCAGUUCCAGAGUGGUUGCGAAGUCCAACAACAGUUCGGCGAAAACCCCCGGGAGCUCCUCGAACAAGAGAGUGAUAUACAUUGUGGCUGGGGAUGAUGGCUCCCAUGUGCCGAUCCUGCGCAAAGUGCAGGUGUAUGGAGAAGAGGGUAGUAAGGGAUAUGAGAAGACACCAGCACCUGCGUGCAACGUCGUUAAGCAAGCACGUCUGGAUGCUGGCAAACAACCGGUGAGACGACCAAGGAUACAACUGCUCAGCAACAACCGUGAGGAACGAUCAGCAGAGCUCAUGGAUGACAAUGCAGAAGCGGCAAUUGCAUUGCAAGUUAAACUGGAGAGAAGCGCCAGCUAUGUGGACCGUUCACUGCAGCUGCAGACUACUGAAGAACAUGAUGUUAUGGAAAUCGAUGACAUUUCUAGCGACGAUACAGGCAGUGAAAGUGAUUCAGACAGCAGCUCUGGGAGUGAGUCAGAAAAGGAGGAAGGGAGGUUCUUCUAUCCUGCCCCUGAGGCACUGGGCACUGUUAAAGCACCGCAAGUUGGAAUGAAAUUCCCAACCCUCGAAGAUGCACACGAGUACUACAACACAUAUGCUCUCCAGACUGGUUUCGUGGUGGUCAGGGGAAGAAACUACAAGAGACAGAGGUUUCAGCUAGACUGCAACAGGAAUCGCAAGGUAAAGCUAGUUGAGGACCUGAACCUGAAGAGGAAGAGGAAGAAGAAUGUCAUAGAGAAGACAAAUUGCCAGGCAAAGAUCAUCGUGAAGCUUAUCAAGGGAGAGUGGGUGAUCGCAGCAGUUCAGAAUGAACAUAACCAUCCGUUAUCUCCGAGCCGUUCGUUCACAAGAUUCUUAACGAGCCAAAAACACAUGUCACCUGAAGAGAGGUCAUUCUCAAGAGUUCUUCAGCAAAGCAGGGUGCCUCCCGGAGAAAUUCUCAAGAUUUUAAGAAGAAUGAGUGCCUUUUUUCGGGAAUUGCCAUCAAAGGAAAAACAGGCACUGAUCUUGCAGUCUGCCGAACAAUGGAGGAAAGCAAACUUAGAUGUUGAAAAAACACUGAACCACUUCGAGGAACUGCAGCUCCAGGACCCAUGUUUUUUCUAUACCGUGCAAAAGGAUGAAGACAGCAUGCUUAGGAGCAUUUUCUGGACUGAUGCAAGGUCGAGGAUGGAUUAUGAAAUCUUUGGUGAUUUCGUAUCGUUUGAUACCACCUUCAGCACAAAUAGACACAACAUGCCUUUUGUUCCUAUCACUGGGAUGAAUAACCGUGGGAGAACAAUCGUGUUAGGAUGUGCCUUGCUGCAAGAUCGGAAAGCUGAAACCUACAAAUGGAUGCUCCAGACGUUUCUGCAAGAGAUGGGAGGAGGUCAAAUGCCAAAAUCAGUCAUAACAAGCCAGGACGAAGCCAUGUCGAAAGCAAUAGCCGAGGUCAUGCCACAAGCAAGGCACAGGUUCUGCAGAUGGAAUGGUAAAGCCCAGGAAAAGAUGGCAGCCUUUGUGGCAGCAAGAGGCAACAUGAAAGCAGAGCUGGACAUCUUAGUUGACAAUUCACUGACAGAGACGGAGUUCGAACAAGGAUGGAGUGCACUCAUUCAGAGACAUGAUGCAAGUGAAAACGAGUACCUACAGUUGCUGUGGGAGAUGAGGAAAACCUGGGCUCCUGUUUAUUUCAUGCAAGAUUUCUUCCCUUUUGUCGUUUCAGCCAGAGGCAGCCAGGGGGCAUUCUCACUGUUCAAAGAGAACGUGCUUCCCAAGGACAAGAUAGAGAAUCUGAUUGAAAAGUACGAGGAGAUGCAAGAUAAGAUCAAAAAAACGGACGAGGAAGAUGCACUGGAAGCGGCAACCGAGCCUUCGUGUUUCUCACUGCAGCCAAUAGAAAGGCACGCAUCACGUGUCUACACAAGGCAGAUCUUCCUGAAGGUCCAGAAGGAGCUGCUCCACUCCACAGCGUUCAAGGUGCAGGAGAUUGAAAGGGGCGCCCUGUACAGGCUGGACAAGGCCUCCAACUACGAGAACCCGGAGUACGACCGAGACUCCUUCGAGGUGUCGGUCGAGUCCGGCGUCACCGACACAUACACGUGCCAGUGCGCCAAGUUCGCCAGGGACGGGAUCCUCUGCUGCCACGUGUUCAGGCUCUUCACGCAGUUUGGCAUCGACGAGAUACCCGAGAAAUACAUCGUGGCCCGGUGGACCGACGGUUUCAGGGAGGAGCAGCUGGAGCGUCGUGAGGAGGGGCGGUUGGUGGCGGCGGCGCGGCGCGAGGAGGAUGCGGCGAGGUACGCGGCGCUGAUGAGCAAGGCGGCCGGGAUCGGGAGGGAGAUCUGCGGCGACGGGGCCAAGUGCGACGCGUUCAUGCUGGAGCUGGACAGGAUCCGGGAGAAAAUGGCGACGAUGGUGAUGGCGAACGAUCACGUUUAG
rnacentral:rRNA from 1 species